rnacentral:rRNA from 1 species
UAAGGAGCUUGCUCCUUUGACGUUAGCGGCGGACGGGUGAGUAACACGUGGGUAACCUACCUAUAAGACUGGAAUAACUCCGGGAAACCGGGGCUAAUGCUGGAUAAUAUUUAGAACCGCAUGGUUCUAAAGUGAAAGAUGGUUUUGCUAUCACUUAUAGAUGGACCCGCGCCGUAUUAGCUAGUUGGUGGGGUAAUGGCUUACCAAGGCAACGAUACGUAGCCGACCUGAGAGGGUGAUCGGCCACACUGGAACUGAGACACGGUCCAGACUCCUACGGGAGGCAGCAGUAGGGAAUCUUCCGCAAUGGGCGAAAGCCUGACGGAGCAACGCCGCGUGAGUGAUGAAGGUCUUCGGAUCGUAAAACUCUGUUAUUAGGGAAGAACAAAUGUGUAAGUAACUGUGCACGUCUUGACGGUACCUAAUCAGAAAGCCACGGCUAACUACGUGCCAGCAGCCGCGGUAAUACGUAGGUGGCAAGCGUUAUCCGGAAUUAUUGGGCGUAAAGCGCGCGUAGGCGGUUUCUUAAGUCUGAUGUGAAAGCCCACGGCUCAACCGUGGAGGGUCAUUGGAAACUGGGAAACUUGAGUGCAGAAGAGGAAAGUGGAAUUCCAUGUGUAGCGGUGAAAUGCGCAGAGAUAUGGAGGAACACCAGUGGCGAAGGCGACUUUCUGGUCUGUAACUGACGCUGAUGUGCGAAGCGUGGGGAUCAAACAGGAUUAGAUACCCUGGUAGUCCACGCCGUAAACGAUGAGUGCUAAGUGUUAGGGGGUUUCCGCCCCUUAGUGCUGCAGCUAACGCAUUAAGCACUCCGCCUGGGGAGUACGACCGCAAGGUUGAAACUCAAAGGAAUUGACGGGGACCCGCACAAGCGGUGGAGCAUGUGGUUUAAUUCGAAGCAACGCGAAGAACCUUACCAAAUCUUGACAUCCUUUGACAACUCUAGAGAUAGAGUCUUCCCCUUCGGGGGACAAAGUGACAGGUGGUGCAUGGUUGUCGUCAGCUCGUGUCGUGAGAUGUUGGGUUAAGUCCCGCAACGAGCGCAACCCUUAAGCUUAGUUGCCAGCAUUAAGUUGGGCACUCUAAGUUGACUGCCGGUGACAAACCGGAGGAAGGUGGGGAUGACGUCAAAUCAUCAUGCCCCUUAUGAUUUGGGCUACACACGUGCUACAAUGGACAAUACAAAGGGCAGCUAAACCGCGAGGUCAUGCAAAUCCCAUAAAGUUG